rnacentral:lncRNA from 1 species
UUUGCUACUAUCAUUCACAUGAACAUCAGGCUCAGUCUAUUUGACUUUUCCCAAUCCCGGAAAGUCUUUUGUUCGAUGGUGCUUUCUUCCAUAAAUUCAGCUAAGUUAAGAUCCAAAACACCAAAGUGAAAUUGGACUUGUUCGCUCCAUUCAGAAUAGUUAAGCCCAUAACUUCACAAUAGACGAAGCUUGCGAAUGAAGAGAAACAGGAACAGUUACU